rnacentral:lncRNA from 1 species
GAGGACAAGGUUCCUAGCGCUGAGGACUAGGUUCCUGGCGGUAAGGACAUUGUUCCUGGCGGUGAGGACAAGGUUCCUGGCCGUGAGGACAAGGUUCUUGGCGGUGAGGACAAGGUUACUAGCGGUGAGGAUAAGGUUCCUGGCAGUGAGGACAAGGUUCGUGGCAGUGAGGACAAGGUUAAUAGCGGUCAGGACAAGGUUCCUCGCGGUGAGGACAAGGCUCCUGGCGGUGAGGAUAAGGUUCCUGGCGAUGAGGACAAGGUUCUUGGCGGUGAGGACAAUGUUCCUGGCGGUGAUGACAAUGUUCCUGGCGGUUAGGGCAAGG